AUGAGGAAGUCCGGUGAGAAUCCGGCGCGGUCCCGCCACUGUCACCGGGGAGCGCUCCUCCAUCAAGGGCCACGGUCCGCGUCCGGGACGCGGGUUCCGUACGGACUGGAAGGCCGGGGGAAGCGCCGAUCCGGGGAGCCAGGAGACUC
rnacentral:ncRNA from 2 species